GUUCAUUUAAACCUAACUCUAUCUCCCCUCUCUCGAGCUCCAUUAACAUUAUACACAACUAAAAUCAUCUUCUUCCUCUCUCCGUCCAUGAGCUUCUUCCUCUCUCCGUCCACGAGCUUCUUCCGCCGCUGCCGUCAUUGCUCGCGUUGCAGAUCUCUCUCUGUCAUCCCUUGGGUCGCACGAGCCCCCUCCUUGUGAUUCUGUUGCUUAGGUUUCUAUCACAUGCUAGUAUCUCGAACCGAUGAGACGUUGUGGGAUGGUGGUUAGCUUCUAUGCCAGUUGCUUUCUUACAGAGAGUCAGAGUUCAACAGCAACCACCUUAAGAUGGUGUUUUGCUCUUAAUAGUUUGAAAUUGGAUAUUGCAAGACAAGGAGAAUGUUUGAGGAAAAAGGGUGAUACAGGAUGCUAAUCUGAUUCAAUCUGCUCUUAUUGUCAAUUAUCUAUGUUUCAUCUCAAUGUGUUCCUGUCCUAAAUAACAUUGUUCAUCUUUUGUUGUUUAGGAAGCUUGCAGACAAGAUUGCAGCUUCUGAUUACUAUGUGGUUGUUUCGGACUACUUUUAUGGUGAACCCUAUGAUCCUCAGAAUACUAAUAGACCUUUAGGAAUUGAGAGUUAGUGAUGACGUGGGUGUAAAGUCUUUAAUGCAACUCGUGUUAGUGAUUAGAUAAAUAAAAUAAAAUAGAAUAGAAGUUACUCACAUAAAUGUUUGAUAAGCAAUAAGCAAUAAGCUACUUUGGACCUGUCUCAGCUGCCAAUAAGGUUAGAAAUCAGCAUCGUUUGUCCAUAUAUGUAUUUGUUGCUGCAAAUCAAUGAUUUAUUGAAUUCUGUUUUUGGCUGCAGUUUUUCUCAUCAAAUGGUUUUUCUUGCCCAAGUCUCUAGAAUCCUCCUGAUCACUUUGUAAAAAUUAUUAACAAGGAUUUUGAACAGGUAGGUAGAAUAUGAAUCACUCUAAGAUCUUUACUGAAUAACAAUUUAUUUUAAAGGUUACAAUGAUAGGUAGAAUAAAAAUCACUCUAAUAUCUUUCUUGUUUUGCUUGAUGGAUUAAGUCUAGGUAUAGCUUGCCACUUAUUUUAUGCCUUCAACUUUCUCUGAUUUCUCAUUCAUAUGAAGGUAAACAAAAACAACCCUCUUACCCCCAAAACACACAUUCAUUCAUAUGAAUGAAAUUUAUGGAAUGAAAACAUGAGGUGGAGAUGCUUUGAUGUAAAAUACUUGCUAUAUAAGUAGACAAGCAUUUGAUUUUAAAUAACUGCAUUAUUAUUGAUCAUGAUAGUUUAGGUAAGUUAGUUUUAGUUUUAGGCCUGUAAUAUUUUAUAUGUACUCAAAUUGAUUCUUAACAUAUUAAAAUAACUUGCUGGAGGUGAAGGGUUGGAUAAAAAAAUUAAAAAGAAGAGAUCUGUUGGAGCUGUAGGAAAUAGAGUCAUGACUGGUGAAAGAGAUGUGAAACGAUCUGCUCUUCCAAAGGCAAAUGCUGGUUCGAAGAUGUGUUUUUAUGAUACACAGGGUUUCAGGUAGUUUGACUUGUUAUAGAUUUCAGGACUUAGGUUUUAGUUGUCAUGCUAAUACUGACCAAAUAGUUUUUUUGAGGAUUUAUUAGAUUUUCCAUCAAUGAUGAUAUAUAUGGAGUAAUUUCACACACUGGUUUUCAUCCAACAGAAUUUGUUAAUGGUAGAAAAUAUCAUAUGAAUGAUUCUAUGCUUUUUUGUGUAUGUUAAAACUGAAUGGAUCAUGAUCAUGGUAUUGAAUCAACGUCACUAUUAUAGGGUUGAGUUUGCUUUUUUGUGUUGUUAUUGUUGUUGGAGGAACAUGCUUGAGAGAUUGUCUCGCUUCAGUAUUGUUAUGCUUGCCAUGUGUUUGAUGAAUUUUCUGAGAGAUGGAAAAGAGCGGAACUUAUUUUCUGUGUUUUCUUUUCCCAAUUCACAAGAUUUAGGUACUUUUCCUCUUAGAUUGCUUAUGAAAUUGGAUGUAAGUUUUCUCAUGUUUUGCAUUUGUGAUUGGUAGUAUUUUUCCUUGCUUGAAGUUGUUAGUUAUUAUUAAACCACUGUUUUGUGCCUAAUAUAAUUGAUAAGUACUACUUGUAUGUACUACUUCAUGACCAAUAAACUUUCUUAUAUUAGAUAACCAAUUCUGCCUUUUGUUACUGCUGAGGACCAGAAAACUGCCAUGGCCAAGGCUUCUAAGGCAUGUGCCUUUCUCAGGAGAUGUCCUUCACUAACACCGCUGAUGUCCUUUUUCUGCCUCCCUUAUCAGCUUAUACAUUGGCAUAUAUAUUGCCCUUAUUGAAUUGCUAUAUGCUGUCUUAUUAAGUGACCAACUACUAUUUUACUGACCAAUAAUAUUCAAUAGGAUUAGCUGACAUUAGCUAUCCUUCCAAACAUGGCUAAGACUUAAAAGUAUAUAGAUUACAGUUAACUUAAAAUCUCUACUGUUUUACUGGAAAGGAUAACUGAUGCUACAAUUUGACUUUUCCCCCUUCUAACCAGGGGAAGCUAUUUUCAAAUUCUGAAUCAAUACAAAAGAGAGCUGAAGCUGCAGUGCUCUUUAAGCAGUUGGAAUAUCCAGUUUUACUGCAUUGCAUAUGUUUGAUGCUUACUGCUCUGUUCAGAACUUGUAUGAGGAUAAAAAUUCCUGACUUGAUCAUUUGAUGAACUUGAUGUUAUGUAGCAGUGAUUAUUUAUCUUCGUAUUUGCAGCUGCUAUAGAGGAUAGUUCAAUUGAUUUUGGAGACUUCUUUAAAGGUCCAUUGCCAGGAAAGUUUCUCAAGCUUUUAGGGUUUCUUGCCUUGUCACGUCUUGGUGUGUAUAUUCCUCUAGGUAUAUCCGAAGUUGCAAGAUCUUCAGAAAAGAGAAGGCGAGGCUGGAAGAAAGAAAAUUCUUCAAUACACUCGAUAUGCGUCAGUUGGAUUUGCAAUUGUACAGCUGAAGUAGACAUGCAGAAAAUGAGUCAUGUGUGAAAAUUUUACCGAAGAUUGCUGGUGGUUUUGUCACUGCCUUAUCUUUCUGCACUGUUCAUUCGUUUUCUACGAAGAACCGAAGGUGUUGAAGCAGCCCGAAAGUACUUUCUGGAUGCACGCAAAUCUCCAAGAUGCACAUAUCAUGUUUAUGUUGCUUAUGCUACAAUGGCCUUUUGUCUUGACAAAGACCCAAAGAUGGCACAUAAUGUUUUUGAAGCUGGACUAAAACGCUUUAUGCAUGAGCCUGUUUACAUUCUUGAUGGGAAAUCCAGCCUUAAAGGCAUGUGUAUAAGUAUAUAAAUUGAAAUGUGAGGAAAGUUGGGAUGAUGAAGAAGAAGCAGCAGCAGCAGAAAGAGCAAGUGAAGUGAAUUUUGCAGAUGAGAUAAGUGGAAUUAAUACAGGAUCUCAUUCACCAACUUCAUCUAAUGAAUCCUCUGUUACAAGUUAAUUAUUAAAGCAGCGAAAAUUGUUCAAAUGAGUUAGGAAAUUGAAUAGGAGUUGCUUGCAGUAUAGUUCUUUUAAUUUACUAGUAUGAGGAAAAUUAUUUAGAGCCCUUUGGAUAGCAUUAACAACUUUUAAUUUACUCAAUACAAUUUGUUGAUGUAUCGUUAUUUAUUAUUAUGGUUGAUGUAUCAAUACACUUUGUUUAUGUUUUAAAUUAUAUUGACUUGUUUGUUUAUAGUA